ensembl:lncRNA
ACAUUGGAGAAGGGCAGGAAAAUAUUAUGGAAGAAAAGAUGAGAAACAGAAAAUAGCCUUGAAGGAACACAUUUUUUAAAGAAGAAGCUUCUGGGAGGCAUUUAUUCUAUAAUCUAUGCUCCUAGUUCUAUGAUUAUUUUAUCUAAAUUUUAAAAACUGAAAGUAGUUUCUCUUCUGUGCCCUGAAACUGAAUUGAAACUGGAUUCUCAAAAGUAAUAUAUGAUAACAUGCAUCACAUAUUACCCAGGGAUUGGUUGGAUUCCAGUUACCAACUCCAGUUUAACUUUGAAUGAGGUAUUUCACCUCUACCUCCCCAUCUAUAAAAAUGAGGAAUUGGCACCUGGUACUCACUGGAGUUUCUUUACCUUGGACUACAGGCCAUGGGGUUUCUUUUGACUUCUAAGAGUUUGUUUUCCAGUCUAUUGGAAAACAGUAACAAUGUUUAUGUUAAUGUUUUAUUUCUGGAUAAAAAAUAAACCAUGCAGAUGUUCCUGAGGUUUCCAUAUUGUGAAGACAAACUAGCCAAUUAGGCUUUUUCAUUUAGAAGUUACUAUGUUAAAAAUGCAGGAACAGGUAAGAACCAUCACAAAUCACCCCACAAAUCAGUAAUCUCUAGGAUCAAAGUGUUUGACUCUUGUGUUUUUACUCUGUGGCUUACCUCACUGGCCCCAGCCAGAUCAUGCUUCAAUCACUCAAGAGAGUCUUGUCAGAGAAUAAUUUUUAGUUUUAUGUCAUGUAAGCCAGGGAAAUUUUUAAGAAUGAAAGCAAUUCACUUCCAGAAAUACUGUUUGAAAUAGAUAAAAAAGCAAAAUUUCAUCAUGGUACUGAAAGUUUAUUAUUUUUGCUAAUAUUUAGGAAUAAGUGGAGAAUUUGUAUCUAGCUCAAAUGUGUUUGAUUUGAAAAACACAGUUUAAUGUUUAUUAUUGAGUGUAUUUUCCAAAGUGGCUACUGAAUAAUUAAAUGCCAAGAAAAUUAAGUUUUAAAAACAUUGUGCAAGUAGUGAUUUAUAAAGAGCCUCACUGAAGAUGGUCACUUCCUUUCCUUCUUUCUAUGCUUUCCUCCCAUUUUUCUCUUCUCCUUUUCCCAUUCAGCCGUGUCUUCCUGAAAAAGCCCCCAAACUGUAUAAAACUUGGCUUCUCUGUGAUGGGCAGGCUACAGGAAGAUGGUGGCCGUUUAAGGGAGAAGGUCGAGUAGCUCAGUCAUAUACAGGGAGUGAUAAGGGCUGACACCAGGUGAUGCAAUUGCUUUUCUUUAUAUUUCUUGCUUUCUUUUCUUCUCCUUUAAAAAAAAAAAAAAAACUUUGAUUAUCACUCCUUUCACUUGGGCUUAAUCAUUUAAAUCACUGUUUCUUGUUCCUCUUUUAAAUUUUCAAGACACCAGCCAAAAAGAAUGAAAGCAAGGAACGAAGAGUAAUUGUUUGACAGUUGGGGAAAAGAGAAUCCUUAGUCCUAAAGAACUGUGUUUUAAAAAAUGAAUAUGUAACAUAUGCCUAUACAAAUGCAUAUAUGAUACGCAUAUAGCUUGAUGAAUUUUCAUAAAUUGAAUAUAGCUGUUUAACCAAUACACAGAUCUAGGAACAGAACAUUAGCAGCAUUCCAGAAACCCUAAGUCCCAAGACCCCUUCUAGUCCUCACCUUCCUCUUCAAAGCUUGAAGAGCACUGGUCUAGAACAUCCCUGGAGAAUCCAAGAGAGUAUUAUAGACUAUGUAAAGAGAGGACAGGAGGAAGAAGCUCAUCUGUGGAUCUGGAGGCAGAUGAUGAAUUACAGUUUGAACCAAAGCUGGACUGGGGGAAAUUCAAGGGUGAAGAGCCAAUCAGCUCUACUGACGGGGGAAUGGUGGCACCUCUUGGUGAAAGAACAGAUUCCUUCCCUUGGCCAGCUAUGCAGCUCUCAGCUUUGUUCCUAGCACAGAGAAGGUACUCAGCUCAUAUCACUUGGAAAAAUGAAUACAUGAAAGAAUCUCCUUGGCUCAGAGGUUCAUACAAACUUCCUGUAAAGGCAGACGUCAGUCUCCAAUUUGGUCCAAAGCCAGCAAAUAAAACAUACAAAACAAAUACAACAGAGAAACAAUCAGGCCAAGAGGAAGGAAGAUGCAAACAUUAGCCCUGUCUUCUUUUUAGUCCUAAAUCUUCAGCUACUUCCAGAGAUACCUAUUUUAAUGAUGUUCAGUUCGGUCACUCAGUCAUGUCCAACUCUUUGCAACCCUAUGAACUGCAGCAUGCCAGGCUACCCUGUCCAUCACCAACUCCUGGAGUUCACUCAAACUCACAUCCAUUGAGUCGGUGA